CUUCAGUUCUGGCAUUAGAUCCUGCAGAUACCCAUCAGAAUGUGUUUUAAAGUCAUGUUUUAUUGUUAAAAUGUUCAACUAUGUGUGACUAAUUCAUAGUCGAUGUAUGCACAGGUACUAAGCAACCAACCCCUUCCUUUAUCAUGCAUCGUUAAUGGCCACCAUUGUACUAUUAAAGGCUGGCAGUAGGUCAUAGCAAAUGUAUUAUUCAAAAGUCUAG